rnacentral:rRNA from 1 species
UACGGAGGGGGCUAGCGUUGUCCGAAGUUACUGGGCGUAAAGCGCGCGUAGGCGGGUUGGUAAGUCCGCUGUGAAAGCCCGGAGCUUAACUCCGGAGGGUCGGUGGAUACUGCCAGUCUUGAAGGUGCUAGGGGGAGAUGGAAUUACCGGUGUAGCGGUGAAAUGCGUAGAUAUCGGUAGGAACACCAGUGGCGAAGGCGGUCUCCUGGGGCAUUCUUGACGCUGAGGCGAGAAAGCUGGGGGAGCAAACGGG